ACAAGAACGACUCUCGGCAACGGAUAUCUCGGCUCUCGCAUCGAUGAAGAACGUAGCGAAAUGCGAUACUUGGUGUGAAUUGCAGAAUCCCGUGAACCAUCGAGUCUUUGAACGCAAGUUGCGCCCGAAGCCGUUAGGUUGAGGGCACGUCUGCCUGGGUGUCACAC
rnacentral:rRNA from 4 species